rnacentral:rRNA from 1 species
UACAGAGGUGGCAAGCGUUGUCCGGAAUUACUGGGCGUAAAGGGCUCGUAGGCGGCCAACUAAGUCAGACGUGAAAUCCCCAGGCUCAACCUGGGAACUGCGUCUGAUACUGGAUGGCUUGAAUCCGGGAGAGGGAUGCAGAAUUCCAGGUGUAGCGGUGAAAUGCGUAGAUAUCUGGAGGAAUACCGGUGGCGAAGGCGGCAUCCUGGACCGGCAUUGACGCUGAGGAGCGAAAGCCAGGGGAGCAAACGGG